ACGCUGUGGAGACCUUGUACCCUGAGGAGCACUCUAGAAAUAUACAGAGCGCCUGGUUAGAACUGUGCAUCGCCACUCUACCUAUUUCUUUGGGAGCACCGGAAAUAGCCAAGCACACACAGGAAAGAACACUGACACUGGAGUAUUUGAACCGGCGUGAUCAGGAAUUAACACAGCAGGCAGGCUGACUUCAGGAACAAACUUGACCAGGGACCCAUGUGGCUUGGCAAUGAGGGGCAGACG